CCUACGGGGGGCAGCAGUGAGGAAUAUUGGUCAAUGGACGAGAGUCUGAACCAGCCAAGUAGCGUGAAGGAUGACUGCCCUAUGGGUGGUAAACUUCUUUUAUAAAGGAAUAAAACGAGGCACGUGUGCCUUUUUGCAUGUACUUUAUGAAUAAGGAUCGGCUAACUCCGUGCCAGCAGCCGCGGUAAUACGGAGUGUCCGAGCGUUAUCCGGAUUUAUUGGGUUUAAAGGGAGCGUAGAUGGGUUGUUAAGUCAGUUGUGAAAGUUUGCGGCUCAACCGUAAAAUUGCAAUUGAUACUGGCAGUCUUGAGUACAGUUGAGGUAUGCGGAAUGCGUGGUGUAGCGGUGAAAUGCAUAGAUAUCACGCGGAACCCCGAUUGCGAAGGCGGCAUACCGGUGCACAACUGACGCUCAGGCACGAAAGCGUGGGUAUCGAACAGGAUUAGAUACCCUUGUAGUC
rnacentral:rRNA from 1 species